UGCAGCUCUGCACAGGAGCCCAGCCCUGGACUCCAGCUCAUCCCACUCAGUGGUCAGGACUCAACACAGGCUGCUCACCAUGGACUGUGUGCUCAGCUGGGUUUUCCUUGUGGCUGUUUUCAAAGGUGUGCAGUGUGAGGUGCAGCUGGUGGAGUCUGGGGGAGGCCUGGUGCAGCCUGGAGGGUCCCUGCGACUCUCCUGUGCAGCCUCUGGAUUCACCUUCAGUAACUACUACAUGAGCUGGGUCCGCCAGGCUCCAGGGAAGGGGCUGGAGUGGGUUGCAGCAAUUAGCAAUGGUGGUGGUAGCACCUACUACCCAGACUCUGUGAAGGGCCGGUUCACCAUCUCCAGAGACAACUCCAAGAACACAGCUGUACCUGCAAAUGAGCAGCCUGAGACCCGAGGACACGGCCACCUAUUACUGUGCUAGA